UGGUUACGUGUUUUAUGCUAAGUGCAUGUUCGAUUUAACAUGGUUAUAUUAUUGGAGUUGAAUGAUUUGUCAUUUAUGGUAUUGCAUGGUCAAGUAUAGGAACGUCAGAAUCUUAAUAUGGUUAUCGGUCGAGUAGACACGGGAAUACGAGGGGCCAGUAUUCCAACUACAGUACUAUAGACUAGAGUGGGUAGCUCCCCUCAAAACAUGCUCAGAAUAUCGACGUCUAUUACCGAUAACCAUGUUAUGAAUCUGCUAGGGAUACCGUCACAUUAUAGUAAUUGUAUUGACAUAAGUAUGAGUAUGUUUAUUUAUACGUUUUGAAUUGUUUAUAUGAUUGGUCAUUUAUGAUAUUGCAUGGUCAGUAUAGGAAGUCAGAAUCUUAAAUGGCUAUCGGUCGAGUAGACACGGAAAUACGGAGGGGCCGGUAUUCCAACUACGGUACUAUAGACUAUAGAGUGGAUAGCUUCCAUUAAUAAACGGGCUCAGAAUAUCGACGUCUAUUACCGAUAACCAUGUUAUGAAUCUGAUAGCUAAGUGGUCGUUGCAUCCCCAUGUUAAUACACCAUUUUGUUUACGUGAGUACACCUUGUGAGUAUACGUUAAGCAGGGGAAACUCGUCGCCCAUGUCAAAAUUGAGGUUCUCGAAGCGGUUAUGGAAACUGGUGGAGCUGAGAAACUCAAGGAAUCACAAGCUUUUAUAUCAACCGACUAUUUUCAAAGAUUAUAGUCACUUUCUUUUAAGUGUUUUAACUUGAGAAGUUUAUAGUUGUAUUUAUAAUGUACUCUAUUUAGGAAUCUAGUCUAUUAAACCGGGGUGUAUGUAAAAUAAAGUUAUUUUUGUGUUCCGCUUGAUUACAAGUAUUGCUUUAAAACCCCGUCUAUGUUGAAGUAGCACUCUUUA